rnacentral:lncRNA from 1 species
AAAAUACUGAGAUAGCUAUAAUUUGGGAAAAGUAGUGAAUUUAAAGUGCAGGUCUGGUACUAGACUACCUGUGUUCAAAUCCCAUCUCCAUCGUCUAUCAGCCGUGUGACACUGAGUAAGUCUCUUAACGCCUCAAUCUCAUUUUCCUCCUUUUAAAAUGAGAUCUUAUCACUUCAUAAAGUUGUAAUAUAAAAAGGGUAAUAAACGAUAAAGCUAUUUGAGGGCUUAGUACGCUCUAGGCACUAUGUUGAGCACUUUACACUCUUGUUAUCUGUCAGCACUCUGACGAAACAGCCUUCUUCACUCCUCUAUUCUCUUCCAGGCGAAACUGCAGUGCCCCGACUCGCAGACUGCGCUGAGCGACGGCUGCCCUGGGUGGCGGGGAGCCUGUUUCCAGCCGGACCGCGUCCCGGGGCACUCCGCAGCGCCGCGCCUGCGCGCUCAGCCCGUCGCCGCGCCAGCCCCGCCGACGUGCGCUCGCUGCCUCCGCGGCGCCAGGCCCCGGAGAUGCGCGCCUGCCCGGUCCGUGCCAGCUCCAGACAUCUGUGGAGUUUAAGAACAUGGAGUUCAUC